rnacentral:rRNA from 1 species
CAGUCGCCGCGGGAAUACGGGGGAUCCAAGCGUUAUCCGGAUUUAUUGGGUUUAAAGGGUGCGUAGGCGGCUUGUUAAGUCAGGGGUGAAAGGCGGUAGCUUAACUAUCGGAGUGCCCUUGAUACUGACGAGCUUGAAUGCAGCUGAGGUAGGCGGAAUGUGACAAGUAGCGGUGAAAUGCAUAGAUAUGUCACAGAACACCGAUUGCGAAGGCAGCUUACUAAAGUGCGAUUGACGCUGAGGCACGAAAGCGUGGGGAUCAAACAGGAUUAGAUACCCCGGUAGUCCCUGUCUCUUAUAC